ensembl:miRNA cin-mir-4142 cin-mir-4142
UAGCAGCUCAUCUGGUAUAAAAAGACGCAGAUGUUUCUUUAAAAAUUCCAGAUGUUUUUUCAGACCAGAUGUGCUACC